UGGGGAAUUUUGCACAAUGGGCGCAAGCCUGAUGCAGCCAUGCCGCGUGUAUGAAGAAGGCCUUCGGGUUGUAAAGUACUUUCAGCGGGGAGGAAGGGAGUAAAGUUAAUACCUUUGCUCAUUGACGUUACCCGCAGAAGAAGCACCGGCUAACUCCGUGCCAGCAGCCGCGGUAAUACGGAGGGUGCAAGCGUUAAUCGGAAUUACUGGGCGUAAAGCGCACGCAGGCGGUUUGUUAAGUCAGAUGUGAAAUCCCCGGGCUCAACCUGGGAACUGCAUCUGAUACUGGCAAGCUUGAGUCUCGUAGAGGGGGGUAGAAUUCCAGGUGUAGCGGUGAAAUGCGUGGAGAUCUGGAGGAAUACCGGUGGCGAAGGCGGCCCCCUGGACAAAGACUGACGCUCAGGUGCGAAAGCGUGGGGAGCAAACAGG
rnacentral:rRNA from 1 species